rnacentral:rRNA from 1 species
GUGAACGCUGGCGGCAGGCCUAACACAUGCAAGUCGAGCGGCAGCGGGUCCUUCGGGAUGCCGGCGAGCGGCGGACGGGUGAGGAAUGCAUCGGAAUCUGCCCUGUCGUGGGGGAUAACCUAGGGAAACUUAGGCUAAUACCGCAUACGACCCACGGGGGAAGGCGGGGAAUGGCAAGACCCCGCGCAAAAGAAGGAGCCGAGGUCCGAUUAGCUAGUUGGCGGGGUAAAGGCCAACCAAGGCGACGAUCGGUAGCUGGUCUGAGAGGAUGAUCAGCCACACUGGGACUGAGACACGGCCCAGACUCCUACGGGAGGCAGCAGUGGGGAAUAUUGGACAAUGGGCGCAAGCCUGAUCCAGCCAUGCCGCGUGGGUGAAGAAGGCCUUCGGGUUGUAAAGCCCUUUUGUCCGGGAAGAAAUCGUCUGGGCUAAUACCCCGGGCGGAUGACGGUACCGGAAGAAUAAGCACCGGCUAACUUCGUG